GCGGGAAUAGCUCAGUUGGUAGAGCAUAACCUUGCCAAGGUUGGGGUCGCGGCUUCGAGUCUCGUUUCCCGCUCCA
rnacentral:tRNA from 1 species